rnacentral:rRNA from 1 species
CGACCCCUACGGGACGCAGCAGUGGGGAAUAUUGCACAAUGGGGGAAACCCUGAUGCAGCAACGCCGCCUGAAGGAAGACGGUUUUCGGAUUGUAAACUUCUGUUCUUAGUGAAGAAUAAUGACGGUAGCUAAGGAGCAAGCCACGGCUAACUACGUGCCAGCAGCCGCGGUAAUACGUAGGUAGCAAGCGUUGUCCGGAAUUACUGGGUGUAAAGGGAGCGCAGGCGGGAAGCCAAGUCAGCUGUGAAAACUACGGGCUUAACUUGUAGACUGCAGUUGAAACUGGUUUUCUUGAGUGAAGUAG